rnacentral:lncRNA from 1 species
GGUGGUCUAUCACAGGGGAUGACUUCUGAACUUGGCUUUGAGGAUGAAGGAGAAGAAAGCUUUUCAGAUUAAAGGAACAACGUCAAGAAAAGACAUGGGGCCUUGAAAGAAGAUACUGAAUUUGCAAUACUUCUUAAAGGUAGCUCACCUGACUCUCCAACCAGACUCUCUUCAUUAUGCCCUUAUACAGAGAAGGUACCUGUAUGCAUUUAUUGAUUGCCUGCUGGGAGAUUAGCUGAUGCCAUUCCCAUCACCAUGACAAUCAAGUGGGUUUCAGCAGCUAAUCCUAUAUUUGGGACUUGCAGACCUAUUUUCAGAUGCAAGCACUGAAUCAGAAAAGUAGAAUUGGAAAAGCUUAGGGAUGGUCUUCUCUAGAGCUUCCAAACUUGUCUUUAGUAAUGAAAAUCUUUUUUCAGACAAUAUUUUCAAUGUACCAUAGGUAGGCAUGUAUUCCUUGGUAUUUUGUCUCUUUGAUAAAAUAUACCUAAAUUUUAUUUGAGAAACUACCCUUUUCACAUAUAGUAUGUAGGAUUGACCCCAACCACCAGCUCUAAUUUGGGUCAGUAAUUGGUUUAAGCCAUGCAUCAGGUUGUAUUUCUCUGGAACCAUGAUUGCUUUAGGGUAGGCAAGUGAUCUCUGCUGAUUCAACCAGAUUGAUCCUCAAAGAAUUGCCUGGAACUACUGGACUAGAACAGCUUCACUGGUUGAGAUGAUGAAGAUGUGAAGGCUGGAACUGCCAGGAGCCAUGGCUGCUACCAUUAGCAGUUCUAGCCUGAGGCCAAAGCUAGCACAGAAGGCAGAUCCAUGAGAAAUAUAAAGAAAUGAGCCUCUAAUGUAAAUAUAGUUAACCUGCUGGAUCAAGCUGUUUCCUAAGCUAGUUGCCUCUGGCCUUCUUAGUUAAGUAAAUACAUAGAUUAUCUUUUAUGCUUCACCCAGUUUGAGUGGGAUUUUCUGUUAGUUGCAAAUGAAAGCAUUUUUAAAGAAUCCAAAACCCCAUGAUAAGACAUAGAUAAAACCAGGUUCUCCCAGUUAAAGUGAUGGUAAGAAACUUAAGAGUCUCACCCACAAUGUACUUUCAAUUUCUAAAAUGUGGCGCAGAUGAACUUUACUAUCUAGUUUAAUUCUUUUAUUUUACAAAUGGCCAAACCAUGAUUCAAAGUGAAUAUUAAAAUAUUGGCAAUACACGUGAAGGAAUACAAACAUGGGUACAAGUAUAUUUUUUAAAAAAAGCAGAUUUCAGAAAAUUGGACAGGAUGAAGGGUUGCAGUUUAAAAAUUAGGAAGCUUUUAUCUAGAGAAAUCCCAAUUAUGCAGGAUUCAAAAUAACAUGAAAUAAGCCAUCAGUAAUUACAAUAUAGUCACUUAUGUAGUGUAAGCAUGUUCCACAAUGUCUAUAAAAAGUAUUAACAGUUAUUGUCCUAUAGAUAGUUGAUCAUGCUUAAAAACUGCAUUAAAGUACUGUUUGCUACUUUGACCAUGCUUAUAAACUUCUAAACUUGCCACAGAAAUUUCUGGUAUGUUCUAUUAAAAAUACACUUUUCCUAGGGAGGGGCUGGUUUUAUAUUAUGCCAUUCAUUUUACCUGUUAUUUCAACUGUACACAGCUUUACACUGUGAUGCAUUACCCUGUAACCUCAGCUUUCUCUCUGGCAGACAUCAGUGUCGCAGGGUAUAUUCUUAUGACAAAAUAAAAGAAAUUCAACAGACAGAUCAAAAUUUGGGACACAAUAUAAAAGGCACAUGGUAGACCGUUUUGCGAUGGUCAACUUGUAAAACAUCAUGAUCCACAGAGGUCAGAAGACUAACCAAAUUUACAUAACUGGUCAAAGAGAAGGGAAAGUAGAAAAUGUGUAUGAAUAUAUAAUCAAUAAACGAGUCAUUUAUUCUCAGUUUAAAUAAAGUUAUCUUCAGAGAGGUGCUAAAUCCACAAACCACAUUGCCUUCAUUCUUUUUUUCCAGUGAAUAAAAAAGAAAAACAUUUCAGUAGUUAGAUGAACAGAUUUUAAACUAAAAUUUCAAAGAGCAUUUUUUUAUUGUGUCUCUUAUCUAAAGAUCAGUCAUUACAUGACCCCUUUCCAAAGUUUAAGAAGUGUUUUAUAGAAAUGUGUCUGAUUAAAAGCUUGGUACUCAAUACAAAAAUGUUUUUAUCCUUCUGGUUGAUGGAAUGGAAGUCGUACAUGUAAUAAUGAGGCAGAAUAAGUUCUGAAGGCAGGCAACCUCAGGCUGAUUCAAACUUACUUCCUAGAACUAAAGCAAAAGGAAAACCUCAACUUUCCAUGCCCAAGUAACAAAAGAACCAGAGGCUACUCCCUUUGCAACCCCCAGUUUUCUGUGCGACAGAUGAAAAACUAAAAGUACCUCUGAUUGGUCCCUUCCCACAACCAAUCAGGCUGGCUGCGGGCCAAGUCUUCCUUUGUAUAGGAGUAUAACUUUGUAACUUCAGGUUAGCCUCUGAUUGGUCGUUUUUCACGACCAAUCAGACGUUUGCAUAUGGUGUAACUUUGUAACUUUGCUUCGGGCUCUGAUUGGUUCCCUACCUCAACCAAUCAGACUGAUUAUGGGCCACUACUUCAUUUACAUAGGGGGUACACAAAGUAACCAAUAGGACAUCAAUGGGACACCUCUAGAGAGUAUUUAAACCUCAGAAAACUCUGUAAUUGGGCCCUUGAGCCUCUUGCUUGGGCCACUCCUACCCUGUGGAGUGUGUUUCCCUUUUCAAUCUCUGCUUUUAUUGCUUCAUUCUUUCCUUGCUUUGUUUAUGCAUUUUGUCCAAUUCUUUGUUCAAGGUGCUAGGAACCUGGACACCCUCCACCUGGACACCAUCUACUAAACAAUAACUCAUAAAUUCUGGUUAAAAGGAGAAACAAUUAUGAAAUUUUGGUUAAAGAUAAAUAAUUAAAAAAUAAUUAUUUUGUAUUGUUCUUGGUGACCCAUAUGAAC